AUUGAACGCUGGCGGCAGGCCUAACACAUGCAAGUCGAGCGGAUGAAGGGAGCUUGCUCCUGGAUUCAGCGGCGGACGGGUGAGUAAUGCCUAGGAAUCUGCCUGGUAGUGGGGGACAACGUUUCGAAAGGAACGCUAAUACCGCAUACGUCCUACGGGAGAAAGCAGGGGACCUUCGGGCCUUGCGCUAUCAGAUGAGCCUAGGUCGGAUUAGCUAGUUGGUGAGGUAAUGGCUCACCAAGGCGACGAUCCGUGACUGGUCUGAGAGGAUGAUCAGUCGCACUGGAACUGAGACACGGUCCAGACUCCUACGGGAGGCAGCAGUGGGGAAUAUUGGACAAUGGGCGAAAGCCUGAUCCAGCCAUGCCGCGUGUGUGAAGAAGGUCUUCGGAUUGUAAAGCACUUUAAGUUGGGAGGAAGGGUUGUAGAUUAAUACUCUGCAAUUUUGACGUUACCGACAGAAUAAGCACCGGCUAACUCUGUGCCAGCAGCCGCCGUAAUAC
rnacentral:rRNA from 1 species